CCCCCUUUUGCCGGCAGACGGUCGGCCAUUUUCGGGGUGUUGCGGGUCGGAGUUUUGGGCGAAUGUUUGGCUGCAGUUUGGAAUCGUCAUAUUGGGUGGGUUGUCGUGGCCUUGUGGAUAUGAGCGUUGUCGCGGUGGCUUGGUCUGGGUUCGGGUCUCUCUACGGAUAUAGAUUUUUUUUUUUCUUUUUUUUUUAUUUAUUUAUAGGAUAUUUUAUUAUAACAAGAAUAACUGAAACAUUGAAUUUUUUAUUAUUUUUUUUUUGUCAUUUUUAACAAGUAGAAUCAAAAUCUAGCAAUUGUUAGUGAUCUCCAUUCC
rnacentral:lncRNA from 1 species